GACGAACGCUGGCGGCGUGCCUAAUACAUGCAAGUCGAGCGGAGUUAGAGAAGCUUGCUUCUCUAACUUAGCGGCGGACGGGUGAGUAACACGUGGGCAAUCUGCCCGUAAGACUGGGAUAACUCCGGGAAACCGGGGCUAAUACCGGAUAAUCCUGACUCUCUCCUGAGAGUCAGUUGAAAGAUGGUUUCGGCUAUCACUUACGGAUGAGCCCGCGGCGCAUUAGCUAGUUGGUAGGGUAAUGGCCUACCAAGGCGACGAUGCGUAGCCGACCUGAGAGGGUGAUCGGCCACACUGGGACUGAGACACGGCCCAGACUCCUACGGGAGGCAGCAGUAGGGAAUCUUCCGCAAUGGACGAAAGUCUGACGGAGCAACGCCGCGUGAGUGAAGAAGGUUUUCGGAUCGUAAAACUCUGUUGUAAGGGAAGAACACGUACGAGAGUAACUGCUCGUACCUUGACGGUACCUUAUUAGAAAGCCACGGCUAACUACGUG
rnacentral:rRNA from 1 species